AGAGUUUGAUCAUGGCUCAGAACGAACGCUGGCGGCGUGCUUAAGACAUGCAAGUCGAACGAGAAAGUACCUUCGGGUGCGAGUAGAGUGGCGCACGGGUGAGUAACGCGUGGAUAAUCUACCUCGAAGCCUGGAAUAACAUUUGGAAACGAAUGCUAAUACCGGAUAAGCCUACGUUCCCUCGGGAUUGUAGGAAAAGGUGGCCUCUCCUUGGAAGCUAUCACUUUGAGAUGAGUCUGCGUUCCAUUAGCUUGUUGGUGGGGUAACGGCCUACCAAGGCGGCGAUGGAUAGCUGGUCUGAGAGGAUGAUCAGCCACACUGGAACUGAGACACGGUCCAGACUCCUACGGGAGGCAGCAGUCGGGAAUCUUGGGCAAUGGGCGAAAGCCUGACCCAGCAACGCCGCGUGAGUGAUGAAGGCCCUAGGGUCGUAAAGCUCUGUCAGAAGGGAAGAAGUUAGUUGGCUUAAUACGCCAGGUGAUUGACGGUACCUUCAAAGGAAGCUCCGGCUAACUCCGUGCCAGCAGCCGCGGUAAUACGGAGGGAGCAAGCGUUGUUCGGAAUCACUGGGCGUAAAGCGAGUGUAGGUUGUUAGAUAAGUAGGAUGUGAAAUCCCAGGGCCCAACCCUGGAACUGCACCCUAAACUGUCUGGCUAGAAUCCCGGAGAGGAAAGCGGAAUUCCGAGUGUAGAGGUGAAAUUCGUAGAUAUUCGGAGGAACGCCAGAGGCGAAGGCGGCUUUCUGGACGGUGAUUGACACUGAGACUCGAAAGCGUGGGGGAGCAAACAGGAUUAGAUACCCUGGUAGUCCACGCCGUAAACGUUGAGUGCUAGUCGUCGCGGGUAUUGACCCCUGCGGUGACAAAGCUAACGCAUUAAGCACUCCGCCUGGGAAGUACGGCCGCAAGGCUAAACUCAAAUGAAUUGACGG
rnacentral:rRNA from 1 species